rnacentral:rRNA from 1 species
AUUGAACGCUGGCGGCAUGCCUUACACAUGCAAGUCGAACGGCAGCACGGGAGCAAUCCUGGUGGCGAGUGGCGAACGGGUGAGUAAUAUAUCGGAACGUGCCCAGUCGUGGGGGAUAACGUAGCGAAAGCUACGCUAAUACCGCAUACGAUCUAUGGAUGAAAGCGGGGGAUCGCAAGACCUCGCGCGAUUGGAGCGGCCGAUAUCAGAUUAGGUAGUUGGUGAGGUAAAGGCUCGCCAAGCCGACGGAUCUGUAGCUGGUCUGAGAGGACGACCAGCCACACUGGGACUGAGACACGGCCCAGACUCCUACGGGAGGCAGCAGUGGGGAAUUUUUGGACAAUGGGCGCAAGCCUGAUCCAGCAAUGCCGCGUGCAGGAUGAAGGCCU